AAGUCGUAACAAGGUUUCCGUAGGUGAACCUGCGGAAGGAUCAUUAACACGUAUCCAACGUUAAACAACCCUGUGAACUUUCAGCCUGCUCUUGUAACCCAUGCGGAACAGCAAACCUCUGUCCAAAAGGAAAUUGCAAUUGAGCGGUAGAGGCAGUGGCAUGGCUUCCCAAAGCAGUUAGUGAAUGAAAGUGUCACCGACUGUGAAGGAUAACGCAUCACGGUUGCUGGAGGUCGAUCACCGACCGGCAGACAUGUCACAGGGUCACCACGCCCCUUAAUCACCCCACUUUUAAAAUGCUUUCUCUAGUGGUAACGCGCUAGAUAACAAAAACCGAACAACUGUUAACAAUGGAUAUCUUGGUUCUC
rnacentral:misc_RNA from 1 species